AGGAUCAGGAACUGCUGUCCUUGCAUGACUCCACCCCUUCCCCCAUUAUCCUCUAUGCACAACUUAAGGUAUAAAAACUACUUUGGAAAAUAAAGUGCGGGCCUUGUUCACCGAAACUUGGUCUCCCCAUGUCGCGCUCUCUCUCACUCUGGCUGAGUCUCCAUCUGGAGUGCGGAACCCACCAUGCUUACUAAUUAUGCCUGGGCUUCUAAGAUCCGACCGGGGAGGCCUCAGUGUCUCCUCUCCUUAAGGAGAAUGGAAGGACGCCUGCAGCCUAUGGCCAGGAGCUCUUUCCGCAUUAACUGCAUGCUGAUCAGAGAAUCAACACUUGAUUGCUAUAUCCUAGGCUCUGAAGUUGAAAUUGUUUACCUGCAGAGACCCAUUUACCAUAUGGAACUCUUGUCUGUAGAGAAAAUCUGAGUGUAUUAACUUCAGGCAUAUGUUUAUAUUCUGCUAGCUUUAUGUCUCUGGGAAAUAAAAGAAGAAGAUAUGCAACAACAAUGAAUAUAAAUAAUUGAACCAGUGUACAUCUUUGAGCAAAAAGAAACCCAUGCAUAUAUAUUGGCAUCUGAAAAUACCUUUGCAAAAUUGUUAGUCAAUCUAUGUUUUAAUAAUUAUAACUUCAUAACAAAAUCUGAUGAUGGAAGUGCUCUAAAAGGUACUUUGUAAAGAAUAACUGCCAUCACCUGAAAAUUACAGCUAAAGUGAUUCAGAAUUCCAGAGUGCUGAAAAAGAAUGAGCUACUACAAAGACACAACAUUUCCACUCCUUAAAUUUUGAUUUUUUAUAUAAAAAAUAAUCCACAAUGACAUGCUCCCUGCAAAUUUUACUUAAAAUUCAGAGGUAUAUGAGACAAAAAUUGACAAUGACACUUUUCCAUGCUUCACCCCCAAAGUCCCUCUCUCUAUAUAGAUGGUUGGCAUGCCUUCUCCUAGAAUUUUGGUCUCUGAACGAACACACAUAUUCACAUAACUAUAAUAUACAUAUAUGCUUGAGUAUAUCUAAUUUUAUAUUUAUUUUUAAACUAACAAAAAUUAGUAUGUCUAGUUUUGUGUAUAUAUAUAUAUAUACAUAUUGCCUUCUGUAUCUAUAUAUAAAAUACAUAUAAUAAUCAAUUUUUAUAUAUAAAUGAGUAUAAAGUACACAUAAAUACAUAUAUAAACAUA
ensembl:lncRNA